AGUGGAGCAUCCAUGAGUAAAGUGGCGCACGGGUGAGUAACACGUGACUAACCUACCCUUGAGUGGGGGAUAACUGAGGGAAACCUUAGCUAAUACCGCAUAAUACCUACGGGUCAAAGGAGCAAUUCGCUCGAGGAGGGGGUCGCGGCCGAUUAGUUAGUUGGCGGGGUAAUGGCCCACCAAGACUAUGAUCGGUAUCCGGCCUGAGAGGGCGCACGGACACACUGGAACUGAAACACGGUCCAGACUCCUACGGGAGGCAGCAGUGGGGAAUUUUGCGCAAUGGGGGAAACCCUGACGCAGCAACGCCGCGUGGAGGAUGAAGUCCCUUGGGACGUAAACUCCUUUCGACCGGGACGAUAAUGACGGUACCGGUGGAAGAAGCCCCGGCUAACUACGUGCCAGCAGCCGCGGUAAUACGUAGGCAGCAAGCGUUGUCCGGAGUUACUGGGCGUAAAGGGUGUGUAGGCGGCUUUCUAAGUUUGUUGUGAAAUCUCCCGGCUCAACCGGGAGGGUGCGGCGAAGACUGGAAGGCUAGAGUAUGGGAUGGGAGAGUGGAAUUCCUGGUGUAGCGGUGAAAUGCGUAGAUAUCAGGAGGAACACCUGCGGUGUAGACGGCUCUCUGGACCAUUACUGA
rnacentral:rRNA from 1 species